GUGCCAGCAGCCGCGGUAAAACGUAGGACGCAAACGUUAUCCGGAAUUACUGGGCGUAAAGGGCGCGCAGGCGGUCGGGUAAGUGAGGCAUGAAAGACCCAGGCUAAACCUGGGGAAGCUGUCUGAGACUGUCCGACUAGAGUGCGAUAGAGGGGUGUAGAAUUCCGCGUGUAGUGGUGAAAUGCGUAGAGAUGCGGAGGAAUACCAGAGGCGAAGGCGGCACCCUGGAUCGUAACUGACGCUGAGGCGCGAAAGCAUGGGUAGCGAACGGGAUUAGAAACCCCUGUAGUCC
rnacentral:rRNA from 1 species